rnacentral:rRNA from 1 species
UACGGAGGGUGCAAGCGUUAUCCGGAUUCACUGGGUUUAAAGGGGGUGUAGGCGGAUAUUUAAGUCAGUGGUGAAAUCUCCAGGCUCAACCUGGAAACUGCCAUUGAUACUAUUUAUCUUGAAUUCUGUUGAGGUGGGCGGAAUACAUCAUGUAGCGGUGAAAUGCUUAGAUAUGAUGUAGAACACCGAUUGCGAAGGCAGCUCACUAAGCAGACAUUGACGCUGAGGCACGAAAGCGUGGGGAUCAAACAGG